rnacentral:rRNA from 1 species
AGGGAAUCUUCGGCAAUGGACGAAAGUCUGCCCGAGCAACGCAGCGUGAGUGAAGCACGUUUUCGAAUCGUAAAACUCUGUUGUUAGAGUAGAACAAGUGGUAAAGUAUCUGUUCCCACCUUGACGGUAUCUAACGAGAAAGCCACUGCUAACCCCGUGCCAGCCGCGGCGGUAAUACGUAGGUGGCAAGCGUUGUCCGGAUUUAUUGGGCGUAAAGCGAGCGCAGGCGGUUUCUUAAGUCUGAUGUGAAAGCCCUCGGCUCAACCGAGGAAGGUCAUUGGAAACUGGGGAACUUGAAUGCAGAAGAGGAGAGUGGAAUUCCAUGUGUAGCGGUGAAAUGCGUAGAUAUAUGGAGGAACACCAGUGGCGAAGGCGACUCUCUGGUCUGUAAUUGACGCUGAGGCUCGAAAGCGUGGGGAGCAAACAGG